ACUAAACAUACGCUUAGUUUGCAACUUCUUAUUCUCUCAUCUUCCUUACUUUUUUGUUCCUUAUACCACCUUACAACCACAUUCUGUGUUUUAACCUUAUCUCCUGGAUAAAUAUCUCGACGUUCGAAUCGCUCGUGUGUUCUACGUUCAACCAAGUUUGUAUCGCUCCUGCGUUAUGAAAACGUCCGUUAUUUCGACCAACGUGAUUAUUUUUUAUCGUUAAUACGCCAAUUAUUCUUCCGUUUUAUAAAUUCAUGAAUCGUUCCUUUAAAUGAAAAGAGACUAUAAAAUCCAUGAUAUUUGGAUGAUCAUAGAACAUUUCGAAUACCUUGGACUCUCUGACAAGUGCAAAUAAUAUGUAAUAUUAUAUAAAUUCAUGUAUAUAAAUUCAUGUAUAAAUACGUUCCAAUAAUUAAUCGGAUAUCCCAGGCCAUUCGUAAGACGACCCUCCACGGACGAUUAUGAGCUAUAAUCUGUUUACAAAGGCUGAUUUUAUCCGAGUCAACGUUAGAUGUAUACUAUAUAUACGUGUCGUUUUGCUUUCAUCCCAAGAAACGAGCAUCAUCAUUACCGAUAAUGUAUAGACAUAUAUGUACAAGGCUGGAAUCUUACAAAAUCCAUUAAAUACUAUUUAGUAACUUUACUUCGCAUCGCAUUCUUCCAUACAUUACUAUCGUAUGUUCAGAAAUAUUUCUGGAUCGAUAUUUAAGAAACAACAUCGACAACUCCCUUAUCGUUAAUCGUCCACCACCUAUACAUACUGUGCCAAUAUAAUCAUAUUCGCGAAAUUCUAAUAGAAUAAAUAUUUCUUACUUUUUUUGUUUCAUGUCGCGUAUGAAAGAAAUCGUAAAUGUCUAGUCAUAAGAUAAUAAUUGGACUGCAGAUUUUUAUGCAGAUUCAUAUUUUAGAAAAUAUAUAAUUGAAAAAGUAGAAUUUUGCUAAAAAAUUGUUUUGCCUAUUCGGUAUCAUAGAAAGCACUAUACUUUAGGUAUUUUAUAUAAGCGUUUUCUAAUAUUAAUGUAAUGUAAUAAUGA